rnacentral:rRNA from 1 species
CGAACGGGUGAGUAACACGUGAGUUACCUGCCCCAAAGUCUGGGACAGCCUUCCGAAAGGGAGAUUAAUACCGGAUGUGAUGGCAACAUUAAAGGUGGAGCAAUCUGCCGCUUUGGGAUGGGCUCGCGGCCUAUCAGCUUGUUGGUGAGGUAAAGGCUCACCAAGGCGAUGACGGGUAGCUGGUCUGAGAGGACGACCAGUCACACUGGAACUGAGACACGGUCAG